rnacentral:rRNA from 1 species
CCUACGUGAGGCAGCAGUGAGGAAUAUUGGUCAAUGGGCGGAAGCCUGAACCAGCCAAGUAGCGUGCAGGAUGACGGCCCUACGGGUUGUAAACUGCUUUUAUACGGGAAUAACGCGCCUUACGUGUAGGGCUUUGCAUGUACCGUAUUCAUAAGUACCGGCUAAUUCCGUGCCAGCAGCCGCGGUAAUACGGAAGGUCCGGGCGUUUUCCGGAUUUAUUGGGUUUAAAGGGAGCGUAGGCGGCAUGGCAAGCGUGCUGUGAAAUGUCCGGGCUCAACCCGGGCCUUGCAGCGCGAACUGGCAUGCUUGAGUCCGCGGAAAGCAGGCGGAAUGCGUCGUGUAGCGGUGAAAUGCUUAGAUAUGACGAAGAACCCCGAUUGCGAAGGCAGCUUGCUGCAGCGGAACUGACGCUGAUGCUCGAAAGCGCGGGUAUCGAACAGGAUUAGAUACCCCAGUAGUC